CUACGGGUUGCAGCAGUGAGGAAUAUUGCACAAUGGGGGAAACCCUGAUGCAGCAACGCCGCGUGGAGGAUGACGCAUUUCGGUGUGUAAACUCCUUUUAUAUGUCAAGAAAAUGACGGUAGCAUAUGAAUAAGCACCGGCUAACUCCGUGCCAGCAGCCGCGGUAAUACGGAGGGUGCAAGCGUUACUCGGAAUCACUGGGCGUAAAGGACGCGUAGGCGGGUUGGAAAGUCAGGUGUGAAAUCCUACAGCUUAACUGUAGAACUGCACUUGAAACUUCUAAUCUAGAGUAUGGGAGGGGGAGAUGGAAUUAGUGGUGGAGGGGUAAAAUCCGUAGAUAUCACUAGGAAUACCUAAAGCGAAGGCGAUCUCCUGGAACAUUACUGACGCUAAGGCGUGAAAGCGUGGGGAGCAAACAGGAUUAGAUACCCUUGUAGUC
rnacentral:rRNA from 1 species